CUCCCUUCUUGCGGCUUACCUGCGGCGUAGGGACUGCUCUGGUGGUCCCGCAGCGUGCCCAGGCUGCAGGAGCCGGGCGUGAGCGACGGGCACCCCGACGUGGCCCCGAAGGUGGUCCGGAUGGGGUUAUAUUGGAAGCCGCCGGCCUGGCUGCAGGAGCUGAAGUCGGCGUACGCCGAGGCCAGGCUGGACGUGUCCAUGCCGGCCAUACAGGACUCGUAGGCAGAGGAAUUGAGGAAUUUCCCUUCCGUUUUUCAAUCGACGCCCGACGAGAAGACCGCGCCCGCGAGCAAGAUCUGGAUUCGAAAGCUGCGCAGCCGGCGGACUCCGGCUUGGGGUCGAGACGCGGGUGAUGCCACCACCUCCGAGAACAAGAAGGAUUUCUGCUGAUUCUGCGGGGGGUAACACCGGUCGAGACAGAUGAAACCAUUGGAAGCUCAAGAGAGAAGAACCAAAGAGGGGGGAUGUGUGGUGUGUACAUCCUAUAAAAGACUAUGAUGCAAGAAGACUGAAAGUUUAAAGAAAACUUUUCUAUUCUUCAAGGAAAAUCUCCCCUCCCUCCACCCCUCAAACUCUUCAAGUCAGAAAGAAUGUUAGAAGUCAGGGAAACAAAACAGCAAACAAAAUGCCUUUGUGCUGGAGUCGCGAUUCAUGGCAAAAUGGUUGUCAGGCCCGUCAUGUCUCACUUUUACGAAGCUGUUUUUUUCCGCAGGCGAAACACACAGCAACAUGGGAAUGAAUAAAAUAUUAAACACCAGCGAGAAUUUCAGAGGAGCUUUCUUUUUGAUUGCUUUAUUUGCCAGAGACUGCUUAAUGAUUCCCCCUAGAGAUGACCGCAGUGACGGAUCAGCUUGGAAAUUGCCGUUUAGGCUCAAGGAGAGCUCUACGUUUUCUUCUGUUUAUGAUUUUUUAAAGAAUAUAUUCACACAGCUGAUAUACGUCUUAAUUCAUAUCAAAUAUCAAAUAUGGUCGCGAUUAAACUCAAUCUUUUGAAUGACGAACAACCCGCACAACAAAUAGAUAAGAGCUAUUUCCUCAGUGGACAUGAGUUUUGUAUGAAUCUUUCCCUUUGAGCUUAGGCAUCCCCUUCCUAAUUUAUUUUGGGUUUUUUUUUAACAAACUGCAUUUGCCUUCAUGGAACCAGAGAGAGUGAGCUGGCAGUUUCUCUCAGUAUCAGCAUGGAGUAACUUCCAAGUACAUGAAAUUGAACAAACUCUCCUUUUUCCCUAUUGUUUCAUUUUCUAAUCUGCUUUUGAAUCAGUUUGCUUAUGUGACAGUCCAGUCGGAAGGAAACAGGAAUGUUCUCACAAAGGAAAGUUAUCUUAUAUAGUGAGAAAGGUCAUUAAGAGGAAGCCAGUGCUUGAUUGUGGUAAAAUUAUAGAUGUUUUAAGCAAACUUUGUCCCAAUAAUACUUAACGAUUACAUCUGUUUAGCACUGGUGAGUGAAGCCAAGAGUAGUGUCAAAGGAAUGUCUUUGGCAUCUAAUUUUGAAAACAAUGCAUUCUUGGACCAACACUGUGAGGCAACGCUGACCAUUCACCAAAACAUUUCUUGACCAGAGAAGCAUGUGAUAGCUCAAGCACACUUAUGUGAGAAGUAAAUUCAUAUGAUAGUGUAUUAUGCAUUCUUAUCCUGUUGGGAAUUGUACCUGUUCAUGUGUUUAUUCUGCAUAUAAACUGCACAAAGUAUAAUCCUCUGGAAAUUAAGCAGUUUCUAGUGUUGUUGGAUUCUGUUGGAGAGAUUCCAGUACUUGCUGUUAAUCUUAUGUACUGAAAGUAAUAGGACUUUAAACUGUUUAAAUAUGGCUGGAUUGUUCUAAACGUAUAUAUUGUGGUUUGGUUUGGACUUUAGCGCAUGUUUGUCAGCACUGUACAUUAUAAUUGGAUGCAGUAGUUGAUUAAGCAAUUGAACCUUUUGUUGAUGAAUUGGUAAGGGAUUUCAGUCAAUGGAAUUGCAGGUUAAAGACAUGUUUGUUUAAUUUUUGAAGCUACUUUUAUUCUGAUGGGUUGAAGAAUAAGAUGAAAAUAUUAAAGAUGGACUUUCUACCAACGAGCAUUU